rnacentral:snRNA from 1 species
CAUACCUUUCUCGGCCUUUUGGCUAAGAUCAAGUGUAGUAUCUGUUCUUAUCAGUUUAAUAUCUGAUAUGUGGGCCAUCGGCUCACACGAUAUUAACUCUAUCUUUUAAGGGAGAAAGCCCGCUAUGAUAGCUUGCUAUCUGGGCUUCCACGAGUCGCCCAUGCGUUGCACUACUGCACGGGCCUGGCUCAACCCGCCAA